AUGGUUGAUGAGCAAGCAUGCGCUGUCUUUGAUAGCCUGAUCAAGAUCAACAUUGGAGAGGGUGCAAAGGUUCUAUUUUGGAAGGAUCGGUGGAUCCAUGGAGUUGCGGUGAAAGACAUUGCUCCGCUGCUCACUCAACUUGUUAGCACAAGAGAUAGCAAUAGGAGAAUGGUGCGCGAUGCCCUCCUUGACAAUGCCUGGACGAAUGAUAUCAAUGGAGAGCUCACUUUCUUGGGACACAUGCAAGUUUACAUGCUGAUCCAAGCCAUUAGCAUUGUGGAGAGAAACGUGGAUGAACCUGAUCGCUUCCAGUGGCCCUAUGACGCAUAG
rnacentral:rRNA from 1 species